GAAUGUGAGGGUUAUCUGGCUGUGACAUAUGUCACCCCAUUAAUGGCCAGGAUUGAUUUGGCUGACCUGGCUGGCUAGGUGGGUGUCCUCUUCCUCCCUCACCCCUACAUGUGCGUCCCUCCUGAAGCUGCAUGCUCGUUCCAAGAGGAUGACCAUCCCCAAUAGAGGAGGACCGGUCUUUGGUCAAGGGUAUACAAAUAGCUGCACUCCCCUGCUAGAACCUCCAAACAAGCUCUCAAGGUAAGAGUUUUUUGGAGAGAUAAAUAGUUUUCUGCAUUCUUUAAAUUCCAAUCGGUAUAUCAAGAUUUAGACCUUG
rnacentral:snRNA from 10 species